rnacentral:rRNA from 1 species
AUGAACGCUGGCGGCGUGCCUAAUACCUGCAAGUCGAGCGAACAGACGAGGAGCUUGCUCCUCUGACGUUAGCGGCGGACGGGUGAGUAACCCGUGGAUAACCUACCUAUAAGACUGGGAUAACUUCGGGAAACCGGAGCUAAUACCGGAUAAUAUAUUGAACCGCAUGGUUCAAUAGUGAAAGACGGUUUUGCUGUCACUUAUAGAUUGAUCCGCGCCGCAUUAGCUAGUUGGUAAGGUAACGGCUUACCAAGGAAACGAUGCGUAGCCGACCUGAGAGGGUGAUCGGCCAAACGGGAACUGAGACACGGUCCAGACCCCUAGGGGAGGCAGCAGUAGGGAAUCUUCCGCAAUGGGCGAAAGCCUGACGGAGCAACGCCGCGGGAGUGAUGAAGGUCUGCGGAUCGUAAAACUCUGUUAUUAGGGAAGAACAAAUGUGUAAGUAACGAUGCACGUCUGGACGGUACCUAAUCAGAAAGCCACGGCGAAUUACGG